rnacentral:rRNA from 1 species
UCGAGCGGGCGUAGCAAUACGUCAGCGGCAGACGGGUGAGUAACGCGUGGGAACGUACCUUUUGGUUCGGAACAACACAGGGAAACUUGUGCUAAUACCGGAUAAGCCCUUACGGGGAAAGAUUUAUCGCCGAAAGAUCGGCCCGCGUCUGAUUAGCUAGUUGGUGAGGUAAUGGCUCACCAAGGCGACGAUCAGUAGCUGGUCUGAGAGGAUGAUCAGCCACAUUGGGACUGAGACACGGCCCAAACUCCUACGGGAGGCAGCAGUGGGGAAUAUUGGACAAUGGGGGCAACCCUGAUCCAGCCAUGCCGCGUGAGUGAUGAAGGCCCUAGGGUUGUAAAGCUCUUUUGUGCGGGAAGAUAAUGACGGUACCGCAAGAAUAAGCCCCGGCUAACUUCGUGCCAGCAGCCGCGGUAAUAC